AAAAUCCUCUCGUCGUGCUCUACCUGUUGGUGUAACUAGUUUCUGAAUUAGGCUGAGUUUAAUGAUCUGUGUUUUCUGGGUUGGUAUCUGACGCCGCCGCAAUUGUCGUCGCGGGCAAUCGUUCUGGGUUUCUCGAUUCAUUUCCGGCAUCCUUGAGUACGAACUCGCCCCUGGUCGAACUUAAUCCAUGUUGCUUGUCGAAUUUGGAGCUUCGAGGCGGAAUUGUUCUUUGUUGCGAAUUGCAGAAUUCGUGAACUUGGUUUGGAUUUUAAGCACCAAGCUGAGUUGAUAGAGAGCUUGUGAAUUGAGGAAAAGAAGAGCAAGGAGAGGAAUUCUGGUUUACCGUGUUCUUCCAUGGAGAAGCUUUUCUACUGAAUUGGGGCUUCUGUUAUUAAGUAGAGUUUAUAUCAAGUUACCCGAGGAACGGAAGGUUUGCGACUCUCGGAGUACGUGCAGGAAAGCAUCGGAAUCUAGGUAGGGAUUCAGGACUCUCCUCGGUUAGUGAUUUUCUUACAUUGUUAUUAAAUGAUGCAUGUUAGUUGGUAUGGUUUGGUUAUGUUCAAAUGCAAUGCAUACUAACCAAACCAUGUGAGAAAUGUGAUGGCUUGAGAGCGAAGGGUGGCUCUGACUUCCUUGGGUUCGAUCCCCAAAACCUCCGGAGGGUUAGUUACACCGGUCGGACGGUGAGCGAUCGCAAUGACGACCCGAUCCGUGUGUGUAGCUAGGUAGCGGACGCUCUCGCUAUGCUUACCUGGUGAUAAAUUAAAUUGAGGUAAGGUCGUGUAGUGGGUCUAUGGGACCGGCCAUCAGGUAAAACUUGGAUUUGGCGCCGUAUUUAUUUAAGCAUCAUGCAUCAGUUUUCAAGUU